GAUGGUAGCCUAGCCUGCGAACAGGCUCCCAAGCUGAAUUGGGAGCCUGCAUCGAUGACUAAUGAAUUUGAAUAUCUGCGUCUCAAAUCGUGACGCGAAAUUCUAAUUGGUCAGAUGCUAUAAUUUAUAUGUUUCCGCUGAGCUCUAUAUAUGUCAACUGCUGAAGCACUAUGCAUAAAAAACACAUUAACUGAUCAAAUUGGUCUUGGCCGUUUUAUAUCAAAGCACGAAAUGUUCUGUUUUGAGAAAACAGUAUUUAAAACAUUUGAACUUUCGCUUGAAUAUCUUAUAUUUCGAAAAACAAUAUAAACUGUACGGUCUAAAUUUUGUUUGCACGGUCUAAAUUUAGUUUGCACGAAAGUUGUAAACAACACCGUAUAAGG